AGAAUUUUAAUGGUCGAACAGACCAACCCUUAAAGACUUCUGCAUCUUUAGGAUAUUCUGGUCCAACAUCGAGGUCACAAACCUUUUUUUCGAUACGGGCUCUUAAAAAAGAUAAUGCUGUUAUCCCUACGGUAACUAAUUUCUUUGAUCAAAAUUCUUGGAUCAACGCAAGUAAGAAGGAGGCUUUAUUUACUCCUCGGUUGCCCCAACCAAAGUAUUUAAUAGUUAUGCCUUUUAAACCUAUUAAUUUUUCUAAAGCUCGAUAGGGUCUUCUUGUCUUUUAAUAAUAUCUGGACUUUUUCAUCCAAAAAUAAAAUUCUAAACAAUCAAAAAGAGACAGCUGUAUUCUUGUCAAACCAUUCAUUCCAGCCUUCAAUUAUAAGGCAAAUGAUUAUGCUACCUUUGCACGGUCAGAGUACCGCGGCCGUUUAAAACUUCACUGGGCAGGUCCGACUUCGUAU
rnacentral:rRNA from 1 species